rnacentral:rRNA from 1 species
ACUCCUACGGGAGGCAGCAGUGGGGAAUUUUCCGCAAUGGGCGCAAGCCUGACGGAGCAAGACCGCGUGAGGGAGGAAGGCUCUUGGGUUGUAAACCUCUUUUAUCAGGGAAGAAGAUCUGACGGUACCUGAUGAAUCAGCAUCGGCUAACUCCGUGCCAGCAGCCGCGGUAAUACGGAGGAUGCAAGCGUUAUCCGGAUUUAUUGGGCGUAAAGCGUCCGCAGGUGGUUUUUCAAGUCUGCUGUUAAAGCGCAGAGCUUAACUCUGUAACGGCGGUGGAAACUGAGAGACUAGAGUAUGGUAGGGGUUGCGGGAAUUCCCAGUGUAGCGGUGAAAUGCGUAGAUAUUGGGAAGAACACCAGCGGCGAAAGCGCGCAACUGGGCCAUUACUGACACUCAUGGACGAAAGCUAGGGGAGCGAAAGGGAUUAGAUACCCCUGUAGUCCUAGCUGUAAACGAUGGGUACUAGGUGUUGACCGUAUCGACCCGGUCAGUGCCGUAGCUAACGCGUUAAGUACCCCGCCUGGGGAGUAUGCACGCAAGUGUGAAACUCAAAGGAAUUGACGGGGGCCCGCACAAGCGGUGGA